GUAUAGCUCAGUGGUAGAGCCCUUGCCUAACAUGAAUGAGGUCCUAGGUUCAAGUCCCAGUAC
rnacentral:tRNA from 1 species